AUGGUGUGCCGGAGUGUGCUGUGGGCAUUCGUGGUCUCCACCUGCCUUGGAUCCAGCGUGGCCCAGAAGGUCACUCAGCCUCAACAAGAAAUGUCUGUGCAGGAGACAGAGACCGCGACCCUGGCCUGCACAUAUGACACUAGUGGGACUGAUUAUUAUUUGUUCUGGUACAAACAACCUCCCAGUGGGGAGAUGAUUUUCAUUAUCCGCCAAGAGGCUUUUAAGCAACAAAAUGCAACAGAUCAUCGCUUCUUUGUCAACUUCCAGAAAGCAACCAAAAACUUCAGCCUCAGGAUCUCAGACUGCCAGCUGGAGGAUGCUGCAGUGUAUUUCUGUGCUCUCAGAGGGGCACAGUGA